rnacentral:rRNA from 1 species
UGUAUCCUACGGGGGGCAGCAGUGGGGAAUAUUGCACAAUGGGGGGAACCCUGAUGCAGCGAAGCCGCGUGAGUGAAGAAGUAUUUCGGUAUGUAAAGCUCUAUCAGCAGGGAAGAAGAUGACGGUACCUGACUAAGAAGCCCCGGAUAACUACGUGCCAGCAGCCGCGGUAAUACGUAGGGGGCAAGCGUUAUCCGGAUUUACUGGGUGUUAAGGGAGCGUAGACGGCAG